CCUACGGGUGGCUGCAGUGAGGAAUAUUGGUCAAUGGACGAGAGUCUGAACCAGCCAAGUAGCGUGAAGGAUGACUGCCCUAUGGGUUGUAAACUUCUUUUAUAAAGGAAUAAAAUGAGGCACGUGUGGGUUUUUGUAUGUACCAUAUGAAUAAGGAUCGGCUAACUCCGUGCCAGCAGCCGCGGUAAUACGGAGGAUCCGAGCGUUAUCCGGAUUUAUUGGGUUUAAAGGGAGCGUAGGUGGGUUGUUAAGUCAGUUGUGAAAGUUUGCGGCUCAACCGUAAAAUUGCAGUUGAAACUGGCAGUCUUGAGUACAGUAGAGGUAGGCGGAAUUCGUGGUGUAGCGGUGAAAUGCUUAGAUAUCACGAAGAACCCCGAUUGCGAAGGCAGCUUACUGGACUGCAACUGACACUGAGGCUCGAAAGUGUGGGUAUCAAACAGGAUUAGAUACCCCGGUAGUC
rnacentral:rRNA from 1 species